rnacentral:rRNA from 1 species
UUCGACACACUAUCAUUAACUGAAUCCAUAGGUUAAUGAGGCGAACCGGGGGAACUGAAACAUCUAAGUACCCCGAGGAAAAGAAAUCAACCGAGAUUCCCCCAGUAGCGGCGAGCGAACGGGGAGGAGCCCAGAGCCUGAAUCAGUGUGUGUGUUAGUGGAAGCGUCUGGAAAGGCGCGCGAUACAGGGUGACAGCCCCGUACACAAAAAUGCACAUGCUGUGAGCUCGAUGAGUAGGGCGGGACACGUGGUAUCCUGUCUGAAUAUGGGGGGACCAUCCUCCAAGGCUAAAUACUCCUGACUGACCGAUAGUGAACCAGUACCGUGAGGGAAAGGCGAAAAGAACCCCGGCGAGGGGAGUGAAAAAGAACCUGAAACCGUGUACGUACAAGCAGUGGGAGCACAGAGCAAUCUGUGUGACUGCGUACCUUUUGUAUAAUGGGUCAGCGACUUAUAUUCUGUAGCAAGGUUAACCGAAUAGGGGAGCCGAAGGGAAACCGAGUCUUAACUGGGCGUUAAGUUGCAGGGUAUAGACCCGAAACCCGGUGAUCUAGCCAUGGGCAGGUUGAAGGUUGGGUAACACUAACUGGAGGACCGAACCGACUAAUGUUGAAAAAUUAGCGGAUGACUUGUGGCUGGGGGUGAAAGGCCAAUCAAACCGGGAGAUAGCUGGUUCUCCCCGAAAGCUAUUUAGGUAGCGCCUCGUGAAUUCAUCUCCGGGGGUAGAGCACUGUUUCGGCAAGGGGGUCAUCCCGACUUACCAACCCGAUGCAAACUGCGAAUACCGGAGAAUGUUAUCACGGGAGACACACGGCGGGUGCUAACGUCCGUCGUGAAGAGGGAAACAACCCAGACCGCCAGCUAAGGUCCCAAAGUCAUGGUUAAGUGGGAAACGAUGUGGGAAGGCCCAGACAGCCAGGAUGUUGGCUUAGAAGCAGCCAUCAUUUAAAGAAAGCGUAAUAGCUCACUGGUCGAGUCGGCCUGCGCGGAAGAUGUAACGGGGCUAAACCAUGCACCGAAGCUGCGGCAGCGACACUGUGUGUUGUUGGGUAGGGGAGCGU